GUUAUUGUAGCUUAUACCAAAGCACGGCACUGAAGCUGCCAAGAUGGGCGUAAUCACCCCAAAAACA
rnacentral:tRNA from 1 species